rnacentral:rRNA from 1 species
GACGAACGCUGGCGGCGUGCUUAACACAUGCAAGUCGAACGGAAAGGCCCUGCUUUUGUGGGGUGCUCGAGUGGCGAACGGGUGAGUAACACGUGAGUAACCUGCCCUUGACUUUGGGAUAACUUCAGGAAACUGGUGCUAAUACCGGAUAGGAGCUCCUGCUGCAUGGUGGGGGUUGGAAAGUUUCGGCGGUUGGGGAUGGACUCGCGGCUUAUCAGCUUGUUGGUGGGGUAGUGGCUUACCAAGGCUUUGACGGGUAGCCGGCCUGAGAGGGUGACCGGCCACAUUGGGACUGAGAUACGGCCCAGACUCCUACGGGAGGCAGCAGUGGGGAAUAUUGCACCAUGGGCGGAAGCCUGAUGCAGCAACGCCGCGUGCGGGAUGACGGCCUUCGGGUUGUAAACCGCUUUCGCCUGUGACGAAGCGUGAGUGACGGUAAUGGGUAAAGAAGCACCGGCUAACUACGUG